CCCCCAAAUCCUUAACCUCACACCCCGGCCCCUCCCUCCCCCUCUACUCCCUCUCCCUCCAAGGCCAGGUCGCCGACAAUCUCCCGCCACCGGAGGCGACCGCGAAGCUCCUCCUCUCGACCUCGAUCUCAAAGCUCCGCCUCUACGGCGCCGACCCCGCCAUCCUCUCCACUGGUGAAGAACGGCGUGGCCAAGCUCGAACCGUCCUUUACCAUCGAUCUCGCUGACGGCACCGUCGUCCGAUGCGGCUCUUAAAGCCCUAGAAACCUCCCCUCCUCUGCUUCGUUCGCGUGCUCCUCACAUCGGAGUUCGAUCCGAGAAUGGCCACCUCGGUGAUGCUUCGAGCUAUGAGGCGGCGAGAUGUGGCCUCGUCUCUCUCAUCUCCUCUCAGACCUACUGUACAGCUAACUGCAUCUGGAGAUUUGUGGAGUCAUUGUUGUUGUGUAAACUCCUGUUGCUUGAGGAUUCAAGUCUCUAAGUAGCAACGGAAAGCUUGAUAUACAUAAGGUAACUAUUGUGUUUGCAUACACCAUUUUCGUAACGUCAAAAUUUGGAAGGAUCUCAAUGUACGAUAUAACAUGAAUAAGAUGUGGUCAACAUUAGUGUGUAGUCAGGUUUUUACUUGAUUAAUACACAAGCUAGCUUGCACUCUCGCCAUCUCUAUAUAUUCUUAUUAACCUGAUAUUAAUAUAGUUUUAUUUAAUAGAUCUUUGUUUCAGGCCUGCUUUCCUCCUUCAGCCUAAUUUCUCUAUUUCAGGGAAAAAUUUGUUCUUCGCUUUGCUAAUUCCAUGGACAGUAUGAGUACAUAAGAGGAUAUCUAAGAGAUGGGGUUGCCAACUGAAUAUCUUGUUCCCCCUGUUAGCCCAAAAGUGGUAUGUUUUGAUUCAUUUUAUCUGGUAUUAUCUCAACUUAUGUGGAAGAAGGUGAAGAAGAGGGUUUGAGUAAAUGUAUAGGGAAGGAGUUGAAGAAGCUUCUGCAGUGUUAUAUCCAUUGUAAAUAAUUUAUGUAAAAGUUUGUAAACAAUUUAUGUAUCUUUCUACUAUUUUGUUGAAUGUAUUUUUUGAAUAUAAUGAGAUUUGAUAUUGGAAUAUAA